rnacentral:misc_RNA from 1 species
AACGGUCUAUACCUGCGGUACCUGCGGAAGGAUCAUUAUCGAAAGAACAGUUGUGGGAUGUUGCUGGCACUGCGGUGCAGGUGCACUCCUCGGCUACUUCUCGAAACCACUUCACAAACCCUUGUGAACUUGUUUGUAGGAGAAAGAUCCUUUGGGUUCCGCCUCCUAUGUACUGUUUUUACAACAUUUCACACCAGAAUGUUCAAAUGGAUGUAUCAUUGUCUGCCCAAGUUUUGGGUU